rnacentral:rRNA from 1 species
GGCUCAUUAAAUCAGUUGUGGUUCCUUAGAUCAUACCACAUCCUACUUGGAUAACUGUGGUAAUUCUAGAGCUAAUACAUGCCGAGAGUACCUCGAGCCCGCGAGGGCGAGGGGAGCCUUUAUUAGACCAAAACCAAUGGGUUGUGGCUUGUCCACUUCCCUUUCCCUUGGUGACUCUGAAUAACUUUGUGCUGAUCGCAUGGCCUUGUGCCGGCGACGUAUCUUUCAAGUGUCUGCCUUAUCAACUUUCGACGGUAGAUUACAAGCCUACCGUGGUUAUAACAGGUGACGGGGAAUCAGGGUUCGAUUCCGGAGAGGGAGCCUGAGAAACGGCUGCCACAUCUAAGGAAGGCAGCAGGCGCGCAAAUUACCCACUCCCGGCACGGGGAGGUAGUGACGAAAAAUAACGAUACGGGACUCGUCCGAGGCCUCGUAAUUGGAAUGAGUACAAUCUAAAUCCCUUAACGAGGAUCUAUUGGAGGGCAAGUCUGGUGCCAGCAGCCGCGGUAAUUCCAGCUCCAAUAGCGUAUAUUAAAGUUGUUGCGGUUAAAAAGCUCGUAGUUGAAUCUCAGUUCUGGACGUGCACGGGUCCGCCAACACACUGGUGGACUGCUGACAUGCCUGGAGCAAAACCGCCCGGCUUGUCCCACGGUGCUCUUAACCGAGUGUUGUGGGUGGCCGACAUUUUUACUUUGAGAAAACCAGAGUGCUUAAAGCAGGCGCAAGACGCCCGAAUGACUGUGCAUGGAAUAAUGGAAAAGGAUCUCGCUUCUGUCUUUGUUGGUUCUUCGGAAGGCGAGAUAAUGAUUAAUAGGGACAGACGGGGGCAUUCGUAUUGCGACGUUAGAGGUGAAAUUCUUGGAUCGUCGCACGACGAACUACUGCGAACGCAUUUGCCAAGAAUGUUUUCGUUAAUCAAGAACGAAAGUUAGAGGUUCGAAGGCGAUCAGAUACCGCCCUAGUUCUAACCAUAAACGAUGCCAACUGGCGAUCCGCCCCAGUUAAAUGUACGACUGGGCGGGCAGCCUCCGGGAAACCAAAGUCUUUGGGUUCCGGGGGAAGUAUGGUUGCAAAGCUGAAACUUAAAGUCAUUGACGG